rnacentral:rRNA from 1 species
CGAGUUAUCUGAACCUUCGGGGAACGAUAACGGCGUCGAGCGGCGGACGGGUGAGUAAUGCCUGGGAAAUUGCCCUGAUGUGGGGGAUAACCAUUGGAAACGACGGCUAAUACCGCAUAAUGCCUUCGGGCCAAAGAGGGGGACCUUCGGGCCUCUCGCGUCAGGAUAUGCCCAGGUGGGAUUAGCUAGUUGGUGAGGUAAAGGCUCACCAAGGCGACGAUCCCUAGCUGGUCUGAGAGGAUGAUCAGCCACACUGGAACUGAGACACGGUCCAGACUCCUACGGGAGGCAGCAGUGGGGAAUAUUGCACAAUGGGCGCAAGCCUGAUGCAGCCAUGCCGCGUGUAUGAAGAAGGCCUUCGGGUUGUAAAGUACUUUCAGCAGUGAGGAAGGUUCAUGCGUUAAUAGCGUAUGGAUUUGACGUUAGCUGCAGAAGAAGCACCGGCUAACUCCGUGCCAGCAGCCGCGGUAAUACGGAGGGUGCGAGCGUUAAUCGGAAUUACUGGGGCGUAAGCGCAUGCAGGUGGUUUGGUAAGUCAGAUGUGAAAGCCCGGGGCUCA